AGUGAACGCUGGCGGUAGGCUUAACACAUGCAAGUCGAACGGCAGCACAGUACGAGCGUGCUCUUACGGGUGGCGAGUGGCGGACGGGUGAGGAAUACAUCGGAAUCUUCUUUUUCGUGGGGGAUAACGUGGGGAAACUUACGCUCAUACCGCAUACGAUCUUCGGGUGAAAGCAGGGGAUCUUCGGACCUUGCGCGAUUGAAUGAGCGGAUGUUGGAUUAGCUAGUUGGCGGGGUACAGGCCCACCAAGGCGAGGAUCCGCAGCUGGUCUGAGAGAAUGAUAGCCCGCACUGGAGGGGGAACGCGGUCAAGGGUCCUGCGGGAGGCAGCAGUGGGGAAUAUGGGGCAAUGGUGGCAAGCCUGGUCCAGUCGUACGACGUGGGUGGAGAAGACGUUGGGGUUGUAAUGCCCGUUUGUUGGUAGAGAAAAGCAGCAGCUUAAUACCCCGCGGUACUGACGGUACCCAAAGAAUAAGCACCGGCUAACUUCGUG
rnacentral:rRNA from 1 species